UGGCACUCUGGUUCCCAUCCCCCUGCCACCCUGGUUUAAACCCCUCGUGCAGCAUCAACAAACCUUCUCGCUGGGAUAUUCGUCCCCCUCCAGCUCAGGCGCAAACCGUCCCUUCUGUUCUGGUUUUAUAAUCUUAUCAUUUGAAACAUUUCUAAAAGUUCACUCAGUGUCAUUAGUAUUGAUGUAGGAUCUUGAUCCAAAACCUCAGCAAUUCCUUCACUCCCAUAGAUGCUGCUCGACCUGCUCUGUUCCUGCAGCAGAUUGUUGGUCGCUCCUGUGGCUGUCUUGCAAAGCUAUCAGUCAGAUACCAACGUCACUGAUGUCGAGAGAGAGCAUAAUUACGACAUAAUUACUCAGUGUUUACUGACAGAUAGGCAGUGAGCCAAGCUCAUCCUCCUCUACUUGUUCUCAAGCCCCACUCUCUCCCUCUCUGUCCACCGCACAGCUUAACUUGUCAAGAGAAACUCACACUUAGCAGCAGGAAUUUUAAAAAUGGAUCAAACCUUCUGAUGCCCAGGAUAUGUGACAUGCUCGGGAUUGUAAAGCCUCGGCUCUCAGGAAGCAAUACGAAGGAGUCAGACCACAACAGGGAUUACAAACAAAAGACGUUUAUUAAAUCUCGAUUAAGGCGCUCCAAUUUCGUCCCACCUUCCAAACCAAAAACUUUCUGGUUAGAGUCAGCAAGCUGUGGGCUGCGUUGGAGACAGAGGAAUGGCGCCACUCGGACUGUGCAAAAACUAAGCAUUUCACUGUAUGCGUCAAUGUUCUGAUGUUCUGUGUAUGUGACAAAUAAAGGUGAUCUUCUAAUCUUCCUGUUGAAUAUUGGAGAAAGUUUGAGGGGCCGUUCCGCCCCAUUUGCUUUUCUGGUUGCCCCAUUACAGGAAGGGUACAGAGGCUUUAGUGAGGGUGCAGGACAGGCUUACCAAGACGCUGCCUGGAUUGGAGAGUAUCAGCUAUGGGAAGUGAUUGGACACAUCUGAGAUGUUUUCUCUGGAGUUUUGAAUGCUGAAGGAAAACCUGAUAGAAAUGUAUAAAAUCAUGAGAGACCUAGAGAGGAUUUGGGUGGUGGGUGGAGAUACAUCUCUACUAAAGGAGGUGUAAGCUCCUUCCUUCCACUAGCCAGCAGGUCACCCUUGGGCAAGGUGCAGCACCCACAGCCCCCCACCGAUCAAGGUCAUGUGAAGCCAUGGGAGCAGGUGGUGGAUGGUCAUAUGAGCAGCCAAUGUGUAUCACAAAUCCUGGUUGUGUGAUCACUGACGCCAGGCAGACAAUCUCUGAAGAGUAUUGAUAAUGGCUGGGUUCACCUGUCUUGUAAAGACUCUGUUCAGAUGAAGGCAAUGGCAAACCACUUCUGUAGAAAAAUUUGCCAAGAACAGUCAUGGUCAAGACCAUAAUCACCUAUGUCAUGGGACACAGCACAUAACGAUGAUAAUGGUGGUGGAUAGAUAGUGUAGACAGUUAGCCCUUUUCCAUAGGGAAAAUUUAGAUACUAGAGGCCAGAACUCUAAGGUGAAAGGAGGGAAAUUGAAAGGAGAUUCUUGGGACAAGUUUUGUCAACAGAGAGUGGUGGGUGCCUGAAACACUCUGCCGGGGGGGGGGGUGGGUGGUGGUGGAAGCAGAUAUGAUAAAGGUGUUUAACAGACAGACAGACAGGAACAGGCAGGGAACGGAGACGACAUUCAGGCAGAUAUGACUUGACAUCACAGACAGCAUGGACGUCCUGGGCCGAAUGGUCUGUUGCUAUGCUCUACCAUUCUGUGUUCUCUUUCUUAUGAUCUAACCCAAGAACCAGGUUAAUCAACUGAGAUUUCCGUCGGCAGCAGAGACGAGUGAUCAAAGCAAAUCACUCGGUAGACUUACUGAUCCAUAAAGGGAGGCCCUCGUUAGGCUGUUGUUUCCAGUAAGAAAAAAUGGAUAAGAUCACAGGCAAAAUGAGAAAACAUGAAAAAAAGUUGUUCAAUUGUCAGUGAGAAAAUUGCCGGACUUUCAGACAAGUUUCCAGAAUGGAUGACAUUGGUAAUAGGGUUCGAUGUGGAUUAAACCACGGUUUACAUUUGUUGUUCUUUUUCCGCAAACUGCUUGAACUGUAGUUUAAAUCUUCAUUAGUACUGAAAGCCACAGAAUUCCGACUAUUGAAUUUUUAUCUUCCUUUCUGCUCUCGUCGAGGAAUCCAGGCAGAAUCAGUUCAAUCUAAGGAUUGUUGGCAAAGAAAGGAAAAUUUCUGUGUCUGCACAUUUAAUAAAUAACUUCUGUUAAUUCUCUAAUUUUAUUCUUCAAUCUUUCUGGCAUAAUUAAAAAGCUGAUCCUAAGGCCAAGAAUUGUUAAUGAUGCCAAAACUCCACAAGAAAAGGAAGGGGGCCUAAGUAAUUAUGGUUUGGUUUAAGUACAGAUGGUACCUUUGUCUUAAAUUUAUUGUUUAAUAGGUUCGGCUUUUAACAGAGCACAAACAAACGUUUAUUUAUUAAGCACGACUAAAAUCCAGAACAGAAAAAGGAAACUGCUAUUGAAACCAACAUUGCUUUGCCUCAAUGUUAACUUCAGAGUGAAGGACAAUGCAUCCAUGGAGUAUUUGACUUAAUUAGCUUAAACAAAGAUGAAUUAUUGUCAUUAUUAAAAAUGUGAUGACAGAACAGUCCUCGAGGCUGAAGUGUUGAAAUCCACCAACUAAGCCCCCCUUACACAUUAUUCUUCAAUAAAACCUCGACUCUGGCUUCAGAGCUGUGCCCUCUGACCCCGUGUCAACAGGGAACCAGACUGAAACUGCCAGAAAACGUGUUUCAUUAAUGUGACCUUUGGCACUGAGCACCAAGAGGCUGCA